UAGGGAAUUGUUCGCAAUGGGCGCAAGCCUGACGACGCAACGCCGCGUGGAGGAUGAAGGGCUUCGGCUCGUAAACUCCUUUCGACCGAGAUGAAUACCCGCAGGGUCAAUACCCUUGCGGACUGACAGUAUCGAGGGAAGAAGCACCGGCCAACUACGUGCCAGCAGCCGCGGUAAUACGUAGGGUGCAAGCGUUGUCCGGAAUUAUUGGGCGUAAAGAGCUCGUAGGCGGUCUGUCGCGUCGAAUGUGAAAACACGAGGCUCAACUUCGUGCCUGCAUUCGAUACGGGCAGACUAGAGUUCGGUAGGGGAGUCUGGAAUUCCUGGUGUAGCGGUGAAAUGCGCAGAUAUCAGGAGGAACACCGGUGGCGAAGGCGGGACUCUGGGCCGAUACUGACGCUGAGGAGCGAAAGCGUGGGGAGCAAA
rnacentral:rRNA from 1 species